UUUUGUUGCGGGGUGAGGGAGAAGCUGCGAUUGAAGAAGUAAGAAAUCUUAUGGAGGAAAGGAAUCAGAUGUUGGAUGAAUUAAGGUUUCAACUAGAAAGGGCCCAAAACCGAAUGAGGACAUAUGCUGAUAGAAAGAAGAUGGAUGUAACUUUUGAGUCGGGAGAGUUUGUGUACCUCAAACCGCAGCCUUAUCGAAUGAAGACCUUGGCAAAAAGGGUCAACCAAAAGUUGAGUGCAAGAUUCUAUGGCCCUUAUGAGAUUCUUGAGAAGAUUGGACAGGUUGCCUACAAGCUUAAAUUACCGGAAAGAGUUCGGGUGCAUCCGGUCUUCCAUAUUUUUUUAUUGAACAGCCACUUCCUACAAAUCUAACAGAAGAAUAUGAACUACAAGUUGAACCCCAAGAAAUCUUAGCUAUUAGAAAAAAUUCGGCUGGUAAAUUGGAGGUGUUGAUCAAGUGGAGGGACCGUCCAGAAUUCGAGGAUUCGUGGGAAGCAGCAGCUGCAAUUCAAGAUGCCUUUCCUUCCUUUCACCUUGAGGACAAGGUGAUGCUUCAAGGAUAAGCACUGUUGCACUUGGAUCCUAAGUUAGCUGAAGCUCAAUCUUCUAAUAAACUUGAUCCGAACUCAAAUGGCGGCUCUAAAACUCCUUUUCCUAGUCCUUCUGCUAAGGAAGUUCCCAAAAUGGAAAAAACAAGGAUACAACUGAAACAUCAACUGCAAAGAACUGUGCAUCUAAUAAGGGACAGAGACCGUUGCAAAGUUUGCUUGCAGGGUUUCUACUUUGGUUUUCUAUGUAGCCUAGCUCAAAUGGUACCAAAAAUGUCAAUUAUGUUAUCCUUUUCAUAUCAUGUGAAAAAUGUAUAAUGUAAAAGAUUGCUGACACCGGAUUACAAGACACUAAAGUCUUUGCAGUAGUCCUGUGGUUAUUAUUGGUUCUUGUUUUUGUUCUGAGAUUUUUGCCUACCUGAUGUCCAAAUAAAAGGGUGUGUAUUUAUAUAACUAUAUCAUUUUAUUGAUAUGGAUAAUAUAGAACAUAAAGAUUGAAUAAUAAAUAAUUUAUUUAUAAGUCUGACCGAGCAAAAGAUCAAGUACACACAAACCAGAAACAAAACAAAACUAGUCAUAAAAGGAAAAACUAAUCACACAAACAAUCUCAUUAAACAUUAGGUGAACUAUGGAUGAGGAUGGUGAAAACUAAUCUUCAAACUUUUAAGUUUUACUGGUUGGUUCCUCUGCACCAUUUCCUCUAGUUUGGCUACUUUCAAGACACCUGCAACAUAUAUCUUAUCUGCUACCUUGUCCACAUAUUCAAAGCAAACAUACCUCCAAUUCUUUUUGAAAUACAAAACCACAAGAAUUCCCCAAAAACCGGUGACAAA